UUGUCACCAACCCCAACAAGGAGGAGAGAGACAAGGCCACAUUUCUUCAGAGCAUCUCCGUGCUGUGCAGAAGCGCCUUGAAGCACGGCCUGACCCAGGGCCUGGAUCUGUUUUGUGACAUGUACGAGCUGGCAGAGAACAUCAAGGCGCUGCUGGAAGAAGAGCCAAGGGACCAGCUGUGCACAGACCUUCGGCAUCUUUCCAUGCUGGCUCUGGAGAAAUUGAGCUUGGUGGACACAGCGCUGGAGGGCAAAGCCAAAAGCCUCCUCCGCACGUGUUUCUCAAGUGUCUUCUGGCUGCCUGCAGAGAAGGAAAUGCCAAAAGGGGACCUUG